GCAGGGAAACACGGCGGGGUCCCAUCUGUCCCUACACCAGCCUGUGUUGACGGGGCAGAGACAAGCGCUCAUGCGGCGCAAAACUCUUCUCCGACCCCGGGAGAGGCUCCAACGGCCCCGCACGCGUUCGCAGUCAGGUGAUGACUUUCUCCAGCUGGUACUAGCCCCCUGAGGCACCCCUGGACCCUGUUAAUAGUAAAUUCUGAGCCAGAGACUCCAGCAAUUGCAGGAGCAAAUCCAGCCAUGGGGAGCAAACAAUCCAGGAAUGGGAUUUUCCUACCAGACGGGCAGGGAGAGGGGACAGGGAAAAGGAGAUAGAAGAAGAAAGAGAGACUGAAAGUGGCCAUGGGAGAGAAGAGUUUUGAGAGAGAUUUCCAGAUCUCUAAUCUGCCCAGACAGAUGUAUUACUGCACCCCUGGGUAGAGUCACUUUCCUGUGGACAAGAUGAGGAUCAGACAGAAGAAAACCCAAUUCCUGACCCCAUAUCCCUCCUGCUGGGGUGUGGCUCCUGUAAGGUCAGUGUUAGAGGGAAUUGUCGAAAGUGACUCCUUUGGUUCUGCCAGACCAGGGCUGCACCAAGCGGUUAGGUCCCCAGACACAGUGCCCGGGGGGCAUCUAGGUGCCCCUUGCUUGGGGCUCUGAGGGCUGCUACUAACCAAGUUACAGGAGGUUAAAAAUCUGUCUCUGGGCUUAGCCUGGCAGGAGGGGCCAGGUCUACACUGUAAUAAAAAGAUCAAGCAUUUUCCCAGCAUGGCAGAAUCUAGGAUGUCUGUCUGCAGGGAAAGGGCCUGGGGAAAUUGUGAUGUGAAAUUAACGAAAGUCUGUUCUGAAACCUCCACAACUGCCCUUUUCACCC